rnacentral:lncRNA from 1 species
UUUGCGAAGGUUUUAAUGUGGCGGUUACUAUAACCUCCGCAAUCUAUAUCAAAUUGUGGGGUUUAUUUACUCCCGCAAAUAUUUUUUAUUUACGGCGGUCGGUAACCUCCGCAAUCAUUUAAAAAAUAGCGCCCACUAAUCCCAAUAUGUUUCCCUUAUUUUUUAAUCUUUUCCCUCUCUUUUUUUCCCAAAUCCCUUUCUUAUUUUCGCUUUUUUCAUUUUCAGAAACUCUCACCCACUCUCACUUAAUCAAAACCCAUAGCAAUAUUCCAUUUCUUCUUCACUUAAUCAAAACCGCGGAUCUCUUUUCCUUCACUUAAUCUCUUCCAUUUCUUCUUCAUUUUCUCCGAUUUCAAGCCCGUGUAGUUGCAAAAUUCCAAAUACAAUAGUUCUCUGCUUUUCUUCAACGGCUCCUCUUUCUUCAGCGCCUCCUCUGUUGCAAAAUAAAAGAGAUAUGAAAGAAAACUUUAGAUCUAUCAAUCAAUUGGAUGUAAGUUUAUUUGAUUUUGCUCUUUCAUACAAAUUCCUCUUCGAUUUUGCUUUGAUUUUGCUUUUUGUCUUUGUUUCUUCGUGCAUGUGGGUUUUAAGUUUAUUUUCUUUGUUAAUUUGUAGAAUCGGUGUAUUUUGAAGAAAUUUGGUAGAAUCGGUGUAUUUUGAAGAAGGAUAUAACACUCUUUGUUGAAUUGAGAUGUAAGUCCUCUUUCUCCCUUUGCAUUAGGUUCUAAAAUUAAGAUUUUUUAUGUAUUUUGUAGGUUAAUUUCUGCGAUUUGGGUCUUAAUUGAAAUAUUUUCGUUUCCAUGUGUAUUUUAGAACUUCUGGGGACCUUCAGAGAAAUGCAAUUGUCGCCGACUGCUUUUCCUCUUUCUGCUCUACGUUGUGUUUGAAUCAGUCUCAUGGUAUAUUUUUUGUUUUUCUGCAGGUUUUGGGUAUUUCAUUCAAUUAUAUCUAAAAGAUUAGCUUCAUCUUGUUAUGCUAAAAAAAAAAGUUCCUUAUGACUUAAUGGCGUAAUAUAUGAUUCACAAACUGUGUAAAAGUGAAUAUUGAAUCUCAAAUUAUUAUUGACUGCAAAUUCUGAACUUCUAGAAAAUGUGUAACUCCAGUGAAUGCAGUUUGGUCCGAAAGCUAAUAGGAGACUACUUCAUUGCCAUGAUGCAUUUAUUUUCACUUGUAACAAAAUCAUUAGAUUCCUCUUUAUUUCUAUUAGCUGUUGUGUUUUUCUUGGAUAUGCACCUUCUGGUUUGUGUACAAAAGACAAAUUUCGCAGAAUAAUGUUCCAUUUUCUCUUGAUCUUUGGUUCUGCCCUUUUCUCAAUUAAAGAAUUUUGUCGUUCAUUAUUUUUUUUUUAUCGUUCACAUUGAAUUUAGUUAGUUAAUAUCUCUAAAGAUGACUGCCAAACACCUUAUCAAAAAACUAUAUGUUGUUAUAAAAAUAGCAUGAGGAAUUAUU